CUCUCCGCAGGGUCGGCCUCGGGGCGGGGCGGGCCCCGGGGCGUGGCCAGCGUCUGCUCUGCCGCUGGACCGCAGCGUCCCGGAGCCGCUGGAGGUAGGUGAGCCGAUCGCUGGGCGGUAGCCCCUACUUACGGGAGGGAGAACCCGAUAAAGCUCGGACAUUCGCGCAAGGGUACUUUCCUCAUCACGUUGCUGCACAGUCUCAGCGGAGCCACUCCGUUCUCGUCCUCGUCCUCUUGAGUCCCUCGGCCCCUCUUCCUACUGUCUGCUGGGAGUCCUCUGUCCCUCCAGUGUUGGUGUCGCCCAGGCCCCAUACCCCUUGUCUCCUGGGCUGCUCCUGGGAGAUCUCGUCCGCUCCGUGGUUUUGACGCCCACCUCUGUGCGGGUUAUCCUGAUAGUUCUCCGGUAGCUAACCCAUUUGUGCCAGGCACUUUUCCAAGGACUUUGUGAACCUCCACUAAUACCACUUGGACUCAGUACACGUAAAACCUUUGUCCCCAGGCCCCCACCAUUGCCCUGAGCUCCCUGAGCUCCAUAUCCUUUCAUCCGGACGUCCGCUAGACCCCUUGCAGGAUGUUCCACAGGCCUCUCUGAACAAACAUAUCUGAAGUGGAACCCACCUUCCUUCCCCAAAUCAGUCUCUUCCCCCAUCUUCCCUUGAGUGAAUGGCAUCACUGUCCCCCCGAGCCAGGCAGCCAGCCCCCAAACAGAGCUUCAGUCUUCUUUGCUCUCCUCAAUCCCAAAUCUAAUCUGUCCCAGAAUCCCAUCAUCUCUUCCCACACAUGUAUUUGCUACACUCAUCUCCUCAGCCCCGGUUUGGACCGCAUCAUUUUUCACCUGGACUGCUGCAGCUGUUCCUAGAGGACCCGUCGUUCUGCCUCCUUUCUCGCUCUCUUCCAUCCAGCUUUCAUGUGCAACUGUGGGAAUCUUUCCCAAAAGCAAAUUUCUGAUGACUGUAUUCACCUGCUUUAAGGACUAGGCUAAAACCCACAUCUCUUCAUCCUUCUAAAAGUCAGAAAGAAGGCUAGGAUGCCCUCCAGCUGUGCCGCUGUUCCCCAGGGUCCUUGGAAGUCCUGGCCAGAGCAACAAGGGGGAGCCCUUGCUGGGAAAACAUAGUCCAGAAGGACAUGGACUUCCGGUAUCGCAAUGCGAGAUCCUUGAGCUGCGGCUCUCGGAAGCAUGAGCCACUUCAUUCUGUCUUCGUGACGUCGAUCCUCAACCAGUUUGAGAGUCUCUUCCUGUGAAAAGGGAUGUGCAUCAGGGCGCGGAGAGCCCCGGCUGGAAGCCCCUCCCACUGCUCCUGAGGCCGCGUGGGCUCACCGCUGCCCCCUCAGGGCAGGCCUCCGACUGCAGGCAGAGCCUGAGGUGCCCAGGGCGGGGCAGCCUGGCCUUCCUGAGACCUCUGGCCUCUCUGCAUGGGAUCCAGCCUCCGUCGUUGUCCAGAGAGGAUAGUCAGAGCCUUGGGCAGCUGCACCUGACCAGCUUGCCUGCUCUGUAUUUUUUUCCUUUAAAAUUUUUGUUUAUUUAUUUUGAGAAUUUCAAUUUCUAUCUUCUGCUUAGGAGAGGCGAGCCGUCGUUUGGACAGAGUCCACAUCUGUCCUGGACUCUCCUGUCACUAGGUUUUUGCCCAAGACUCGGUUGGCAAUGAGCUCCAAGCUCCCGGCCUGGCAAGUCUGCUGGGAAAGAGAGCGUCCUUCCCAGUCAUUCCAGCAAAAGUCUCAGGACUGAGCCCCAUUGUUCUGUCACGGGUCUCGUGACCAUCCCUGGACCAGUCAUUGAGGCUGGGGAGACACAGGGCUCUGAUUGGCCAGCCUGUCAUGAGAGGAGUGGAGUUAAUUCGAACCCCAUCACCUGGGCUGAGAGAUAGAAAGGGGGCUGCCCCAAGGAGAGGGCAGGGCCGUUCCCAGGAGGAGGGAGACGGCCUGCUGGGAAGGGCGCAGUCCACCGACUUCCACAGUAGGUUUUCCUCGAAAUCCCAGAUCCAGGGCUCUUCCAGCAGGCCUGACACCAAGGAGACUGCUAUCGUUUCAAAAUAGAGAGGAAAAAUUGGCAAUAGCCAUGAGUUGAGACGACUUGAUAAAAUAUUUCUUGUUUUCUCAAGUUUACACUGUUGCUAUGGGGUGGGUUGGCAGAGAGAUGAAAAUAAAUCUGUGUCAUUUAUUUUU
ensembl:lncRNA